AACGUGUGCGCCGAUUGACUAAGGGUUCCUGGGUCAAGCUGAUCUGCCCAGGGUAAGUCGGGACCUAAGGCGAGGCCGACAGGCGUAGUCGAUGGAUAACCGGUUGAUAUUCCGGUACCCGCUGUGAAGCGUCAAACAUUGAAUCCAGUGAUGCUAAGGCCGUGAAGCCGUUCCGGACCCUUCGGGGAAAGGAAAGUGGUGGAGCCGCUGAACCGAUCUGGUAGUAGGUGAGUGAUGGGGUGACGCAGGAAGGUAGUCCAGCCCGGGCGAUGGUAGUCCCGGGGUAAGGGUGUAGGCCGAGUGGUAGGCAAAUCCGCCGCUCAUCAAGGCUGAGACCUGAUGCCGAGCCGAUUGUGGUGAAGUGGAUGAUCCUAUGCUGUCGAGAAAAGCCUCUAGCGAGUUUCAUGGCGGCCCGUACCCUAAACCGACUCAGGUGGUCAGGUAGAGAAUACCGAGGCGUUCGGGUGAACUAUGGUUAAGGAACUCGGCAAAAUGCCCCCGUAACUUCGGGAGAAGGGGGGCCAUCACUGGUGAGAGGACUUGCUCCUUGAGCUGGGGGUGGCCGCAGAGACCAGCGAGAAGCGACUGUUUACUAAAAACACAGGUCCGUGCGAAGCCGUAAGGCGAUGUAUACGGACUGACGCCUGCCCGGUGCUGGAACGUUAAGGGGACCGGUUAGUCACAUUUCGGUGUGGCGAAGCUGAGAACUUAAGCGCCAGUAAACGGCGGUGGUAACUAUAACCAUCCUAAGGUAGCGAAAUUCCUUGUCGGGUAAGUUCCGACCUGCACGAAUGGCGUAACGACUUCUCGACUGUCUCAACCAUAGGCCCGGUGAAAUUGCACUACGAGUAAAGAUGCUCGUUUCGCGCAGCAGGACGGAAAGACCCCGGGACCUUUACUACAGUUUGAUAUUGGUGUUCGGUUCGGCUUGUGUAGGAUAGCUGGGAGACUUUGAAGCGGCCACGCCAGUGGUUGUGGAGUCGUCGUUGAAAUACCAGUCUGGUCGUGCUGGAUGUCUAACCUGGGUCCGUGAUCCGGAUCAGGGACAGUGUCUGAUGGGUAGUUUAACUGGGGCGGUUGCCUCCUAAAGAGUAACGGAGGCGCCCAAAGGUUCCCUCAGCCUGGUUGGUAAUCAGGUGUUGAGUGUAAGUGCACAAGGGAGCUUGACUGUGAGACCGACGGGUCGAGCAGGGACGAAAGUCGGGACUAGUGAUCCGGCGGUGGCUUGUGGAAGCGCCGUCGCUCAACGGAUAAAAGGUACCCCGGGGAUAACAGGCUGAUCUUCCCCAAGAGUCCAUAUCGACGGGAUGGUUUGGCACCUCGAUGUCGGCUCGUCGCAUCCUGGGGCUGGAGUCGGUCCCAAGGGUUGGGCUGUUCGCCCAUUAAAGCGGUACGCGAGCUGGGUUUAGAACGUCGUGAGACAGUUCGGUCCCUAUCCGCUGCGCGCGCAGGAACAUUGAGAAGGGCUGUCCCUAGUACGAGAGGACCGGGACGGACGAACCUCUGGUGUGCCAGUUGUUCUGCCAAGGGCAUGGCUGGUUGGCUACGUUCGGGAGGGAUAACCGCUGAAAGCAUCUAAGCGGGAAGCCUGCUUCGAGAUGAGUGUUCCCACCUCCUUGA
rnacentral:rRNA from 1 species